AAAUACUAUUCAUGCCAUUGACCCCCUCUUCCCUAUCAUUUUUCGUUUCCUACAAUGUUUACUAACCUGUUAGUAAACAUGAAAUGAAAUGCAGGUAACUGUGAUCUAAAGAUAUGCAUUUAGUGCUAAAUAAUAUCGUUAAAGUUGGUACGUUUUCAAAUAUUCUCUUCUAACUAAAAAAGUAUUUAUUCAAUCAAAAAAAAUCCUAUUCAUGCCAUUGAUCCCGUCUUCCCUAUCAUUUUUCCUUUCCUACUAUGUUUACUAACCUGUUACAUCGCAAAAAAAAAAAGAAAAUGUCAAUUCAAUAUAUUUUCGUGAUUUUUGAAUGAUUAGUGUUGGUGGUAGUCUAUCAUCAACUAGGGUAAGAACUCAUCAAAUCUAAUAUUGCUCAAACUUUUACAACUGAGACCAUACUGUAAUGAUGCAAUUCAAUAACUGUGAAGAUAACUAAUUUUGGCAAGUUAUCACCAACCUCUUCUUUUUCCUUUUUUUUUUCUUUCUUUCUGAAAUCGUUGAUGAGUUUACUCUCUAUAUCAAAUCUAGCAACAUCAGGUGUUCUUUAUUUAGCUAUUCAAUCAUAGAGAACACAGGGUGUAUACAUUAAGCGUAUCCAUAUAGAAACUUUAAACUUUAAAGUCGAGCUCAUUAAAUUAGGCAUUUGGGAUUUUUUGAUAGUAUAGAAGUUGCUUACACUCAUAAGAGGUUUAGGAUUUCUUCAGCUUAAAGAGGGAGAUUCUUAUUCUUUUGCUUGAUUGUAGACUGAUACUAAUGAUGGCAUUUUUCUAUACAUGCUUUUUCCCGGUUUCUGAAUGCUUGGAUAGGUCUGUUUUUCAUUAUGUGUUCAAAUUUUGAAGAACUUAAGUCUUUAUACUUUGUACUCAACAUACAUGAAUAAUGUCAAACUAAGGAAUCUUUUGUACUUGGUUCAUAUACUACUGCUUAGUUUUCAUGUGAGAUGGUUAUUCAGAAUAAUCAAUAUAUAUAUAUAUAUAUUCUAAUGCUUUGUACAUAGUCAGGAAAGAUUCCUUUAGCAUUUGUGAAAUUGUUUUUAUCUUACUGACGGCAUUAAUAUUCCCCCCUAGAAGACAACGGAAAAUUCUAUUUAGGAGUUGCAUACAGCAAUUUUGAUUGGGCAUAGCUGAUGCAUGUGCUCCCAUACAAUGGCGCCCACAUUAUGGGAGCUAUUAUUGUCCAAGAUUGUCAUCAUUCAAAGGAAGAAUGUGCCGAAGGAAAACUUGGUACUUGUAUUUCAACUGCGGUCCACUAAUGCAUGAACAGGCAGGGAAAUAAGGAAUAGGAAAUAUUCUGCUGAACUCAGUCAGGGCAGUGUAAGGAUAGGAACAAUUUUCCUCACCUACUUAUGACAAAUACUCUGAUUAUGAGAGUUGUGAGGCAGAUUUGUUUCACUACUAUCCAGCGAAGAUAGAUGUGCAAUCCCUCUCUAGGGAAAGCUACGUGGAACAUUUGUCAGUGGUUGAGGAUUUAUUAUAACUUGUACACUUGUAAAACCUUAGAUUACAGCCAAAGCUGGAUGUUGUUGCUGUUCACUUUGAAAAGGAGGUAGAAGUAGUUGAGUGGCCCAGAGAUAAAAUUUGUCAACUGGAACCAUAAUUUGAAUGUAUCUGCAAUUGUUGAUUGGGUAUGUUAGGCAUCACCAUCGACAGAGCAUCAAGUAAGGCCAAGGCUUUCCUAGCAUUUACACUUCAUGCCAUGGCUGCUUCCAUUUCCUAUCUAUGUCAUGAGAAAUGGUUCUAUUCUUUCUUGAAUGUACAGAAUUAUUGACAAUUUAUUCACUUUUCAAAUCUUAUGUUGUGGCUUCUUACUUAAAGUCUCCGUAGCAAUGACUUCAACACUUUUCUAGAUUAUGAGGUAUGCAUUUAUGAUUAGACUUACAUAUU